GACGAACGCUGGCGGCGUGCUUAACACAUGCAAGUCGAGCGGUAAGGCCCUUUCGGGGGUACACGAGCGGCGAACGGGUGAGUAGCACGUGGGUGACCUGCCCUCAGCUCUGGGAUAAGCCCGGGAAACUGGGUCUAAUACUGGAUAUGACUCCAUGACGCAUGUUGUGGGGUGGAAAGCCUUGUGCGGCUGAGGAUGGGCCCGCGGCCUAUCAGCUUGUU
rnacentral:rRNA from 1 species